rnacentral:rRNA from 1 species
GAUGAACGCUGGCGGCGUGCCUAAUACAUGCAAGUCGAGCGAACUUUUGGGUGCUUGCUCCCAAAAGUUAGCGGCGGACGGGUGAGUAACACGUGGGCAACCUUCCUGUUAGACUUGGAUAACUUCGGGAAACCGGAGCUAAUACCGGAUAACAUUGAAGACUACAUGGCCUUCAAUUAAAAGGUGGCUUUUAGCUACCACUUACAGAUGUACCCGCGGCGCAUUAGCUAGUUGGUGAGGUAACGGCUCACCAAGGCGGCGAUGCGUAGCCGACCUGAGAGGGGGAUCGGCAACACUGGGACGGAGACACGGCCCAGACUCCUACGGGAGGCAGCAGUAGGGAAUCUUCCGCAAUGGACGAAAGUCUGACGGAGCAACGCCGCGUGAGCGAAGAAGGCCUUCGGGUCGUAAAGCUCUGUUGUUAGGGAAGAACAAGUAUCGUUCGAAUAGGGCGGUACCUUGACGGUACCUAACCAGAAAGCCACGGCUAACUACGUG